CAGCUGUCUCCACUUUCCUGUGUAUUUAUUGUCUCAGUCUUGCCUUGUUCUUGGUUGUGUUCUCUCCUGCUGUGUCUUCCAUGUUUCUCUGGUAGCUUCCAAGUUUUUCUAGUUCUCAGUUUCUAGUUUUGAUUUUUUUUUUUUCCCAUCUACUCAAAGCGCUUUACAUUUCAAGGUAAAGACACUACAAUGAUAAAGAGAAAACCACAACAAUCAGACGACCCCCUGUGAGCGAGGACUUGGCAACAGCGGAAAGGAAAAACGCCAUUUUAACAGGAAGACUCCUCAGGCGCUGCAGACAUCAUCAGAAUGUCUGCCAACAGCAGCACGAGUGUCGUGCUGCCAUCAGGCCUGCAGGGGGACCCGAGGACGCGCGGGUACGAUGUCAGGUGGACUCAGAUCCCUCACCUGCUGCUGAACUGGAACCGGAGCACGUGCUCCCACGGACGCUGCUCGAUGCUCCCUGACGGCUCGCUUGAGUUCAGCCGACUUCAGACCCAAGACUCCGGAAGCUACACGCUGGAGGUGUUUGACAAGACUGGGUCGAGACUGCAGACCAAAGACUUCCUGCUGCAGGUGACAGGGUUUGCUCAGCCAGCGAAGAGUGACGGCGGCGUGAACACCGCUUUCUCCAGGAAGAUGGAGGAAACGACAGACUGGGUAGCGUUACAUCCGGCGGGCCGGGCAAGAAAUCCUCCAGCAGUUGGAGCAGACCACAGCAGCAGCCAUGUGGUGUCUUCAGUGUCCGUCUGCGUCGUCCUGCUGGUUCUGUUGCUCUUCUUCAUCGUGGUCUUCAUCCUGAGGAAGAGGAGGGUUCAGAGGAAGAUGACCACAGGUCAGAAGGAGGAGAAGGAGGAGAACAUUUAUGUGGUGAUGAAGGGUUGCCAAGGUAACAAGAACAAUGAAGAGGAGAAGGAGAAGAAACUGGAGAAAGAGGAAGAGCCCCUCUAUGUUCCCUGCAGUCCUACAGUUUCCUCCCAGCAUGAAGACAGUGUGUACGUGUGAGGACCAAUCAGAGCCCAGCGUGUCUGCUCUGUAUGGAAGCCUUUGAGAGACUUUAUUAAUUGGAGAUAAACUAUCUGAAUUUCAGGAGCAGGACCACGCCUCCAAACACGCCCCUUCCUGUUCUUACCUAUAUUUGACCCCCCAGCUCUACAACCCCCCCUUCUCAUUAGUACUUGGGGACGUCCCCUCUGAGCCUUCCCCAAACUGCGGCUCAGUUCGUGUUUAAGCCGUCUGCCUUGAUCUAAUAAAACUGCUGUCAAGCUAACACGAGGACGUGUGAAAGUGAUGACGUACACCAGUGUUUCCCAACAACACAGGUGUGCCGUGCCUUUCCCGUUGUUACUCUGCUCUGAAGAUGUUACCAUGGAAACGUGGACUAUAUCUCAAGUUAUUUGAUAAAAUGUGACUUUUCUGAAAGCAACAUGUUCAUAAAUAUAAAUAACUUUUAUUUUUCAAACAGUUUUGUUAAAAAUCACAUUCAGACUCACUGGACGAUUUAUCAGGUACACCAUGUUAAUACUCAGUGGAGUGAAUUUUGUGGAUUUUGCUUGUUUGUGGAUCAGAUUCAGCGCGCUGCUGGAAACCUUCCUCACAUCUUCUUCAGUAUCUUCUUCAUCCUGAAGUAUUUUGAUAUUUCUCUGUAAAGUCGUUUCCCUUCCUCUGUUUCUUUGUUAUUAAGGUUCUCUGGACAAAUGUUUCUGACAAUAAUUCAGAUUGACU
ensembl:lncRNA